AGUACUGAAAAUCUAUUAGCGAAUUAACUUUCAAAAUAAAUACAACUUUCAACAACGGAUCUCUUGGCUCUCGCAUCGAAUGAAGAACGCAGCGAAAUGCGAUACGUAAUGUGAAUUGCAGAAUUCAGUGAAUCAUCGAAUCUUUGAACGCACAUUGCGCUCUCUGGUAUUCCGGAGAGCAUGCUUGUUUGAGUAUCAGUAAAACACCUCAAGUCCGCUCUUCAUCUUUGAAGACGGAUUUGGACUUGAGCGAUCCCAACAGGAGGGCUUUCCUUCUGGCGGGUUGCUUGAAAUGCAGGUGCAGCUGGACUUUCUUCUGGGCUAUAAGCAUAUUUAUUUAGUCCCGUUAAACGGAUUAUUACUUUUUGCUGCAGCCAACGUAAAGGUUGAUUGUCCUCUUGCUGACUGAUGCAGGAAUUUUCGGGGGAUCGGCAACGAUUUCCCGUUAAACUCGAUCUCAAAUCAAGUAAGACUACCCGCUGAACUUAA
rnacentral:rRNA from 1 species